ensembl:lncRNA
UUUUUCUAUUAAAAUUUGUUCAUGGAAGCUCAAUUUCCAUAUGUCAAAUGGCACUAUAUAUUGAAGAGAUCUUAAAGAAAUCUUUUUUACCAAUCUUAUUUACCAAAUUUACCAAGUAUAAUUUAGCAUUACUUUUCCAUUGGAUAAAUUACAUUUUGAUAAAAUUAAUGAGCUUGAAUUAAUAAAUUUCCAAAAGUCACAAUUUAAAAUAUUUUUAAUACCAAAACUUUAUACAUAAUAUUUCAUGUGUCACAAAAUCAUAGGCCUAUAGCAAAUAUAAUAUGCCUUGAGUGAACAAUAAAAACUUCAUAUACUUUCAUUGUAGAUCUGGACUGUAGGUGAAACCCAAUAUAUAAGCUGUAUAGUUCUCUAAUCAAAGAAAAUACGUGUCAUUAUGGUUUUAGGAAAAAAUAUAUAUCUAAGUUGAUACUAUUCUUCAUAGUAAAGCCUCAAGUUCAAAUCUAUUGCUAGGAGCCAGUGCACUGGCUCACACUUUUGAAUUUCUACCUAAUUUGAAAAAUACAAUUGAGGUAUUUGGAGUAUUAUAGUACUUGCUAUUAAAAGCCACUACAAUUGUAUAUAUUUGACUGUGAUAUGUUGUUUUGAAAAUGGAAAAAACAUUGACAUAUAAGCCUAUAUUUUACUUGCCAAAAAAGCUGAUUAAAUGUUGGCACCUGACAGUAUUUCUAGAGAGUGUUAUUUCUUCCAUAGAUUCAGACCCCAAAAAGUUAUAUAACAAUUUGAAAGAUUAAUAUGAUAUGCCCUGAAAACUUGUAAUAAACUGGCAACUGUUCUUUUGGGAUGUGAUUCCCAUUUAAUAGAGGCAUACUCUCAAAAAACAUUUUCUGAAAUAACUCAUAAGGUCCAAUGGAUAGUGACAACAUUUUGUAUCAAGUAGUCCGUUAGUCCUAAAUCCAUUCAUUCAUUCGACUAACUUUUUUUCAUUGCCUUUGUGCCUUCCCAGGUUUCAAGGUCAUUUAUCCAUUCAACAAAUAUUGCAGCAUGGCUAUUUAGCAAUGUUCCAGAUGCUAAACAUGUAAUUACAAAUUUUUAAAGAGUGAUUACAUACUAUGAUGAAAAAUAAUGGAAUGAGGAGGAGAAAGUUCCUACAUAGCAAAGGUAGUCAGGAAGGCCAAGAGGAAAGGUCUCCAGAGGCAAUGUGUGGAAUGGGAAUUAGAAAAUGAGAAUGACCUAGCCAUGGGAAGAAGAGCAUUUGGUUUCUCCACUAGCAUGUGAAGAACUCAAGGCAGAAAGAUACUCAGCAUACUGGAAACAGUAAGUGGAGCCCAGCACUGCAAUAGUAUAGCCAGAGAUCAAGGGAGGAAGGAUCUGGGGCCAGCUGGGAUGGAAGAGCAAGAAACUCACUGCUCAAGGACUUACAGGCCAUGGUGAAGAGUUUUUAUCUUAUUUCCAGGGCAGUAGAAAGGAUAGGAUAGAUAGGAUAGAUAGGAUCUCUCAGGAAUGAAACACUCUGUGAAAUUUUUUUAACCUCCAAAAAUUCUGGGAACUUUGGUUAUAACCCAAUGUAUGAAGCAGCAGUUGUUAACAAUAUCAAAUGCAAUCCUAUAUGAUUAUUUGGGGAAUAAUUCAGGUCUCCUGAAUUUUCUCAACUGAAAAUUGCAUACUUUGGAUAUGAGUUUAUGGCUUUUGUUCCCUGGAACUACUGGAACAAGUAUCUUCCUGAAAGCAAAUGCUAACUUGGUUUGCUUCAGCUAACAGGUGAGGUACUUGCUUUUGGAAGCAAAGAUAGGUAACGUUCCCUAUAAGAACAGUUUUAUCCUAUGAGUUUGACUAUUCACAUAGUAAAACAAAUUCAUCAAUGAGAUUGUUUCAUUUAAUUGUAUCAGCUGUUUAAAUAUCCAACUGAAUAGUUUAAGGGCAUCACAAUGCAUUAAAAGGAUUGAAUAAGGUAUUUUGAGUUUAUUAAAAACUGUUGAAUAGUAUACGUUUAUAGAUUACUUCUUUAUAUUAGAAAUACAAACAUUAUUUUUAGUGAAGAGUAAGAAUAUUCAAAUAAAAUAUCAUUUAAGUUUUAAGAUUUUUUUAAGUUAACUGAUUAGCUCUCCUUUGGGAAGAUAAAAAUAUGUUCUUUAAAACCAAAAGGGGGGAGUUCUGUUGUGGCUCAAGGGAAACAAAUCUGACUAGUAUCCAUGAGGGUACAGGUUCAAUCCCUGACCUCGCUUGGUGGGCAAAGGAUCUGGUGUUGCCAUGAGCUGCAGUGUAGGUCAGCAGACAUGGCUUGAAUCCUGUGUUGCUGUGUCUGUGGCAUAGGCCAGAGGGUACUGCUCCAAUUAGACCCCUAGCCUGGGAACCUCCAUGUGCUGUGAGUGCAGCCCCCCAAAAAAAAGGAGCUCUAAAGAUUGGAUAAGCUGUUGGAAUCAAUAUUAGUAAGCUAAAACCAAAACCACAACUUUGAAAUUAAUAAAACACUACUAUUAAGCUAAAUUACAAGGUGUUUCUGCUGACUGAGAUAUUUAAUCACAAGUUUUAUUGUACUUUUUUAGCUCCUUAAAGACAAAUCAUUACAGCACUGUGAAUUCUAGAUAUUAAAACACAUGAUUAAUAGCAACAUGCUUUAAAAUUACCAUGGAAGUGCUGUAGUUGACAUUUUUAAUUGGGGCUUCCCUUAGUGAAUUUAUCACCAAACAAAUAUCUUUCGUCUCUUAAAAGAAUAAUAUCUAGAUUCACCCCUUCCUGGAGAUUUAUAUUUAACCAUGUGAAAGAUGAAAAUAAGGCUACGAGGAAUGCUUAAUACAUGUGCAUGUAGGAUUUUUCACUUAAUGUCGAGAGUGCACUUUUAUAAAUGCAUUCAAUAUUUUGGUUUCCAUUAAAAGUGUUUUGAUAUGAGUGAUCUAGACUUCUUUUUAUAUACUGAAAUGCCUUUUAAAUGUCCAAUCUGAUAAAGCAAAUUAAAAGUGAGAGAGUUAAAACUGUCACUUUAUAUAAGACCUUAUCAGUUUUAUGUAAAUAUCAACACACUACAUUAAAAGUUCUUUACUAAGGUAACUGCCUAUGAGACAGCAGAUCACUAAGUAAGUUUUGAGACAGACCUCCUUGUAAGAAUAUCAAAAUAGGUGACCCUGAACACACCGAAACUAUAAAUAAGGCUUGGAACGAGGAGUUGUGAGAGGGUUUUCUGAAGAAGAUUUCUCUGAGGAAUGCAAAUCUUCCCCUCCAGUCAAUUUUAGUGAAGCAGUUUCUGUAGGCACACCUUGACUUUGACUCCUGACUGGACAGUGACCAAUGACACACGCGGAUGAGCUAUCUGCUUUAGCAUCAGAUUUAAGGAGCGCUCCCCACAAGGUUGAUAUUUGCUUGAAUGUCCAGAGUUCGUUACUACAAAGAAUGUAUGAGUAUGAACCAUGGGACUAUAUAACUCCAGCAUGAAGAGGAGCUGUCUAAAGGAGCCCUUGGGAGGAUUGUGGAGGGCAUGAGAGUGUGUGGAAUAGAUGCCCCCAACAUGCAAGCUAACAGUAGUGCAGCUAAAAAAAAAACCUAUUCCCCAAUGCACAGGAAGUGUAUUUGACUGUUCUCAGUGGGGACCUCUAAUGUGCAUCCAAAAGCACCCUAAGAGAUUAAACUGACUACCUACCCUAAGAUAGUGGGAAGCCAGCUGAAGAAAAUAGUCAAAGGAGAACUUCCUUAUAUCCUAACUUCUGCCUAUUGCAACUUUGAUAUUGUGUUUUAGAAACUGCCCUUAGAAAGAUGCUGGAGGAGCAAUGCAAGGCCUAGAUGGAGAAGGACAGACGGUUUUCCCUUUUUCUCCCUUGGCCAUGGAAUAUUAGCUGUAGCAGAAAUGAGUUUAGAUGGAUAGGCAGCAGUCAGUUAUGCAAUGCCUCUAGGACAUUUAAGAACAUAAACUUUGUGUUUUAGUGCAUCUAUAGGUUCACAACAAAACUGAGUGGAGGGUACCAAGAUUUCCCAGUACUCCCUUCCCCUACAGUCAUAGCCUCCCUCAUUAUCAAUAUCUCUCAUCAGAAUGGAACAUUUCCUACAAAUGAUGGGCUUACACCGACACAUUAUUAUCACCCAAGUGCAUUAGGAUUCAUUCUUUGCAUUGAGCAAUCUCUGGGUUUCGGCAAAUGUAUAAUAACAUCUAUCAACCAUUAUUGUUUCAUACCAUAUAUUAUAUGAUACAUAUAUGGUGCAUGUAUGAUACUAUGAUAGUGAAUACAUGUCUUCACACAUACCAUAGUAUUAAAAUAUAGAAUAGCUCCACCACUCUAAAAUUCUCUGUGCUCUGCCUAGUCAUCACUAGCCCCUGGCAACUACUGAUCUUUUUAUUGUUUCCAUAGUUUAAUCUUCUCCAGAAUGCCAUAAAGUUGAAAUCAUAUAGUAUGUAACCCUUUUUCAGAUUGGCUUCUUUUACUUAAUAAUAUACAUUCAAGUCUUUUCAUGACUUGAUAGCUCACUUAGUUUUAGCAUUGAGUAAUAUUCCAUUACUGACAUGACGGAAUUUAUGAUUUAAAAAAUAUAAACCCAGCUUAUUUAUGGGGAAAAGGUUAGAGAGGGAUAAGAAUAAAUUUCAAGAAAACAGUUGGGGUGCUAGUGCAAUUGCUCUGGUAUGAGAGGAGAAAGCCACAUUCUGGGGUGGCAGCAAUGGAGAUGAACUGAAUAAGAUGAUUUAAGACUGUGUCUAUGAGGUAAAAGUAGUAGUACUUGUCGAUGAAUCAGACUUGGGAAAUUAUAGAAAGAGGGGUCAAGAAUGACUUCUGGAUCUUUGGCUUGAGCAAUUGGAUGGAUGAGGGUAUUUAACAAGGGUGGGUGGUGAAACAAGGCUGGAGGUCCCACUGGAAUAGCUUGAUUCCAAGCCAAAAAUUCAGCCCCUCAGAAAAUUCUAUUAGAGGGAUAUAAAAAUCCUCACCAAGCAUAAAUCUCAUUUCCUUUUCCUUGCAGAUUGUUGGCCACUCCUCCUAGGCUCCAGGGAUAUGAAUAAUGCCCUUAAUAAUGUCAGAUAAUUUCCAUCGGUCCUUAAUUGCCCACUGAUCUGUUUCCCUGUCUUAACCAUCUUCUUGAUGGUGUUCCCAGCCACUACUAAACUUAACAUUUUACAGCCAGCAAUACUAUCAUUUUCCCUUUUUUCAAACUUUUCAUUUUUUGUUUUUUGCAAACUUCUAUUAUUUGCAAACACUUAUAUCAGGUAAAAUGGUCAAAGUUGUUUGUUGGAACCCUAAAUAAAUAGCAUAAAAGAUGCCAUAAUAGACUGCUAGCAUCAUUUACAGUAGGUUGUAUUCAUAGCUUUGGCUAACAUUGUAUGUAGCCCAUCACAUUAGUGCCCAUGGAUUAAAAGCUUAAAAGAGCAUUCAGAACAUAUAAAUAAUAAGCUAUAAUACUCUUUCUAUAUACAUUUUAAUUUUUUAUAAAAAUUAUUGAGAGACUAAUAGUAUUAAAAUCAGUCAGCGAUCAAUGUUAGUUUCUUGGUUUUGAUAAUAGGACUAUGGUUACAGAAGGUUAAUGUUGGGGGAAGCAGAGUCAAGAAUAUAUGGAAACUUGGAUAAGCAAUGAGAUCCUGUAGCACUGGGAACUAUAUCUAGUCACUUGUGAUGGAACAUGAUGGAGGAUAAUAUCAGAAAAAGAAUGUAUAUAUGUGUGUGUGUGUAUGUGUCUGUGUGUAUGUGUGUGUGAAUGAGUCACUUUGCUGUACAGUAGAAAAUUGACAGAGCACUGUAAACCAACUAUAAUGGAAAAAAUAAAAAUCAUUAAAGUCACAUAAAAAAGAAUAUAUGGAAACUCUAUGUACUAUUUUGUAACAUUUCUGUAGGUCUAAUAUUAUCUCAAAAUAAAAAGUUAAAAAGUAUAUCAUAAUUUCCAGGGCAAGGUUAAAAGGAAAAUAUAUAUACAAGAUAUCUGAAAAAGACAGGUAUUCAAAUAUCAACAUUAUAGGGUUUUAACUCAGUAUUAUGUCUUUACUUAUUCUUGAUUUAAUGCAUGAGUUCACUUACAGCCAGAAAUCAAAUCUAAUUAAAUUAUCUUAAAAUAGAAUGGGAAUAUGUAAUAAAUAUAUGACCACAUAAAAUGUCUUGAAGCUUAAUAAAUAAACUGGAAUUAAAAUUAACUUAAAAAUUUGCAAAGGAGCUACAAAUCCACUGUAAAUAUAAAGAAAAACUUGCUUUACAUUAUAGAUAUUUUGCCCUUGUUCUUAGGAAAAAAAAAUUAUAAAAAUUAUAAAUUCCCUGAAUUCAAAGAAGGUAUCUUUUAGAUUUACCCAAUAUAUUCAACACAAAAUCAUUUUUCUGUUUACUCAGGUACAAAGUUUCAGAGUCCUCCUUAACUCUUUCUUCUCCAUUUUUUUCUUUCAUCUGAACAGUUCCUGUGUCAUGCCAAGCCUUCAUCUUCAUUAUCUUCGCUUUUAUCUCAUGUUCCUCUAAGAUCCCACACAAGAAUAUUCUUCUAAAUACCAUACUUAUUUUUCCUGACUCAAAUGAUCCAUUUUUACAUAUAUGAGACCGAUCAUUUAUUAAAAAUUAUAGAUCUGGUCAUGUUCAAAAGCUUUCAAAUAGGAGUUCCUGUCGUGGCGCAGUGGAAAGGAAUCCAACUAGGAAUCAUGAGGUUGCGGGUUCUAUCCCUGGCUUUGCUCAGGGGAUGAAGGAUCUGGUGUUGCUGGGACCUGUAGUGUAGGUUCCAGACACAGCUUGGAUCCAGUGUUGGAGUAGGCC